UGUGUAAGAAAGGUAAUAGGUAUUAAGGAGGGCACUUGUGAUGAGCACUGAGUGUUGUAUGUAAGAGAUGUAUAAUUGAAUUCUACUUCUUAAAUUAAUAUUGUACUGCAUGUUAACUAAUUAAAAUUAAGAUUUUAAAAUUAAAAUGAAAUGAAAAUUCAUGCCUAUG